rnacentral:ribozyme from 1 species
AAUUUAAAAUAAAGAAAAGAAAAGAGCGUGCGUUCAUUCUUCACUUACCUCUUUUCGUUUCUUUAGUUUAAAUUGAGUCUUUUGCCUUCUUUCCCUUUGCCUUUUAUUCUGUUUCAAUUAAAUUACAAUGGUAAUAAAGUUAAGCGUGAAUUUAAUUGAAACGAACCAAAAGGCAAAGCGAAAGAACCUGUUGGCUGUUCCUGGUGCGGUUGGCCUUUACUUUUUCUCUUUCCACUUUGUUCAAUUCAUGCUUCACUUUAUUUCCAUUAUAAUUGAACAAAGGAAGAAAGGAAAAGUAAA